AUGAGUAUUAUAAGUUGGAACUGCCGAGGGGCGGGGAGCUCUCGGACAGUUCGCGACCUUGUGAGCUUGGCACAAGCUCAUUCCCCUUGUAUCGUUUCACUUUGUGAAACUAGGCAGUCGAAGGAUAGGAUGAAGAGAUACCGCUCUUGUUUAGGUUUACAUGGUUUUGAAGCUGUCGAUAGUGAUGGUUUUAGUGGUGGUCUAGCUCUUUUUUGGCAUGAAUCUGUGCAACUCGAUGUAAAAGAUUUGAAUAAACGAUAUAUUGAUGCGUAUGUGACGACGGCGGCGGGGGAGCCCCCUUGGAGGCUCACCUGCGUCUACGGCGAGCCGCGAACGGAGGACCGCCACCACAUGUGGUCGCUCCUUCGUGAUCUUCAUCACCACGUGGAUAUGCCUUGGGUGGUGAUUGGCGACUUCAACGAGGCCAUGUGGGGCUUCGAGCACUUCUCCGACACCCCGCGCUCAGCAGGUCAGAUGAUCGAUUUCAGGGAUGUUUUGGAAUUAUGUGGACUUGGAGACCUUGGUUUUGCAGGGCUGCCGUAUACAUUUGAUAACCGGCGGUCCGGACGUGUGAACGUCAAGGUGCGGCUGGACCGUGCGGUGGCGAACAAUGCAUGGCGUGAUUUAUUCAUGGAGGCGGCGGUGCGGCACUUGGUGGCCCCAUCGUCUGAUAACAUACCCAUUCUCCUAAGGUGGGUGGCCGAACCACCUAGGGAGUAUGUGGGCAAGAGGUGGAGGAAUUAUGAGGUGGCUUGGGAACGUGACCCUGCGCUCCCAGAAGUCAUCAUGCAUGCUUGGUCGGCUGCAGGCACGAUGGGCAAUCUUGGUGACGUUGCAUCGGCACUAGGCGAGCUCAUGCAGACGCUGCAAGGGUGGAGUAAACGCAAGUUUGGUAAUGUGAUACAAGACAUUAAUAAAUCUCGUACCCGAUUGGAGGAACUAAUGGCCAUGAAUGCAGAUCAGUGCACCAUUCGAGAGGCCACAAAUCGCCUCAAUGAGCUUCUUUACAGGGAGGAGAUGCUAUGGAUGCAACGCUCAAGGGUGGACUGGCUGCGAGAGGGUGACCGUAAUACAAUUUUUUCCAUCGCAAGGCUGUAUGGCGAGCACGAAAAAACCGCAUCAAGUCACUAA
rnacentral:rRNA from 1 species